CACUCACACACACACACACUCACACACACACACACACACACACACACACACACACACACACACACACACACACGCACACGCACUGUCUAAUAAAAAGCAUGGACACUCACUCACACAUGCACAAUGCACCAGUAAUGUGAUUUAACCUGCUUUCGUGAGCUCUGACGAGUACUCGACAUGAUUAAGAGCCAAUAUGCUGUUGCAUACAACCAAGCUUUUCUCUGAGCCGCUCUAUUUGCCUGCUCCUUAAGCCCCUCUUUGCAUCUCCCUCUGCAUGUCUUUUAAGCACUUCUGAGGCAUCGCAGGGGAAGAACUUUGCACACACACACAUCACCCAGGAUCCUUCACUUAGACGCAAGAGCACAUCAAAUGUCAGUGAAAUGGGGGAACUCUACGCACAUUGCUCCUCUCCAUCCUCUAAGACAGAUCAUCAUGUGCUUGGAAUCAUCAGAAGUUUUUGGGAGGUAUCCGGACAAAAAGUGAGGGAUUGCACGUGAGGAAGAGAAAAAUGGAGGAAGCAGAUGAAGAAAAAGAAGAGGAGGAUAAAGAAAAAAGCGGGUCCGCCUCAGUACACCCUGUCGGAAGUUUUUUUUUUGAUGUGCAGCAAAAUUAAAUAUUUUUUUGAUCUAACAAAUUAAUUUUCACCCCCACUCCCAAAGCCCGUCCCAUCCUCCCUCUUCCCUUUUCUCAAUGAGAUAAAGACAAUUUAAUUUAGAUACAACACUCACAGACAGAGACACACGCACACACGCACCCGUUUGGUUGGUCAAAGCUGACGAGAAUCCACCGCUACCACCAGUCAAACAUCCUACAGUAGGUUUGUGUUAAGGGCCUAUUUGAAUGUGGGUUGGGUUAAUGUCACCCUUGUGCUUAACCAAUAGAUGUCAUUAUAUUACUGAGCUAUUAUUACUUGAUUUAAAUGACACAUUAGACAACACCACGUGUAGUUUAGAUUCUUUGUUCUUCACUUAAAUCAAACGUCAUUCAUCAGAAAUGAAGGACGUGGAAGACAGGAGGAGGAAGCUUUGUAGGAAGCUAGACCACAGAUAGGUGGUCCAAUUGUACGACAACCAGCGCAGCUAGAGCCUUGGACGGUAUAAAACUCUGCGUGUACUAGAAAAUAUCACCAUUUGUAUUAAAAUAAAAACAUCUUCAUUUGUAUAAGUGUUGCCUCU
rnacentral:lncRNA from 1 species